rnacentral:misc_RNA from 1 species
GAUGAAGAACGCAGCGAAAUGCGAUAAGUAAUGUGAAUUGCAGAAUUCAGUGAAUCAUCGAAUCUUUGAACGCACAUUGCGCCCGCCAGUAUUCUGGCGGGCAUGCCUGUUCGAGCGUCAUUUCAACCAUCAAGCCCCAGGCUUGUGUUGGAGCCCUGCGGCCGCCGCAGCCUCCCAAAACCAGUGGCGGGCUCGCUAUCACACCGAGUGCAGUAGUUUACUCUUCGCUCAGGGCGUGUGGCGGGUGCUAGCCGUAAAACCCCCAACUUCUCAAGGUUGACCUCGGAUCAGGUAGGAAUACCCGCUGAACUUAAGCAUAUCAAUAAGCGGAGGA